rnacentral:rRNA from 1 species
UACGUAGGGACCGAGCGUUGUCCGGAAUCAUUGGGCGUAAAGAGCGUGUAGGCGGCUCGCUAAGUCUUGCGUGAAAUCUCGGGGCUCAACCCCGAGCGGUCGUGAGAAACUGGCGGGCUAGAGUGCGGGAGAGGAGAGUGGAAUUCCUGGUGUAGCGGUGAAAUGCGUAGAUAUUGGGAGGAACACCAGUGGCGAAGGCGGCUCACUGGACCGGAACUGACGCUGAGGCGCGAAAGCGUGGGGAGCAAACGGG